GUAUCUACACAAUGAUGUUCAGUUUUCCCCACACUGAAGGACAAUGGGGCUCAGCUUUGAAGCAGAUAAAGUGCUCUGUUGCUGAAAUCACAGUAAGACGGUAUUGGGUCUAAUGUAGCCUUGAGCAUCCCUUCCUUACCUGGAGAUAAUUGCAAGAUACAGUAUACUACAGAAGGUAAACUACUUUUCAUUGCUCUUUUGUUUGCAGCCUACUGGAAUAAAAUUUCCUAGUACCCU
rnacentral:lncRNA from 1 species